CGGCUUCGUGUUCCCUCGGGGCGGCUGCGGGAAAGGGAGAGCGCCGGGCUUCCGCCCAUUCGCUCCUCUGAUGUAAAUAACACACCGAUUCCGUGCCGUUCCGUUUGUCUUUCCCUCUUCCUUUCCAUGCCACGCUCAAAUAUUUCCAGUGUCACCAUGGUAUCUAAGCUCAUCAAAGAAACCGUGGGAGGUUGUCGCUAGCUCAUUUAUCUGAGAGGAAAUGUAUCAAUUAAAGGUGAAUGCUGUGUCAGAGGUGAGCUCCUGUCAACCUGGCUUAUGCAGAACACGAGCUCCAACACAAGAAAAAGUCAGUGGAAGUUCUCAUAAUGGGCAGUUCCUGUUUAUACAGCAACCAUGGAAUCAAUAUGCAGGAGAAAGUAUUGCAUUUUCUCAAGUCAUGCACUUUUUAUUUCAUCUCAGCAAAUCCCAUAUGGCUGAGGCAUUUUUAUAAGAAUGUGAGCAAUUUUGAGCUCUGUGGAAAAUGCUGAGUGCUGUUGGAUGAAGGCAGAGAAGGGCAGAAGAGGAAAAAUACAUUCCUUUCAAUGCACUAAUAUAGAAGGCAGUUAAGGAAUAUGACAAUAAUGAGCAAUCAUUCUGCCUUGUAAUGUAUGUUUUGCUUUAAAGAGCACGUGAUGACUCCCUGAAGACAAUAAUAGGUAACAUAAUGAAGUCCUGUCUACACAGGCAUGUUACUUCAAAUAUUUCAGAUGAGUUGGCUUGAGUAUAUUUGUAAUAAUUGUUUUAAAGUGGCUGGACUUUCUUUUUUUGCACAAAUAAAACCCAGGCUCACUAGCUCUCAGCUAUGAGCUGCAUUCAGUUCAUGAGAGGAUUCUACCCAUUUUUGAAUAAUUUUCCCUCAUUGUAUAAUGUGAUAAGGUUUCUUUGGUGUCUGGCCCUUGAGUGCUCUCUUCUGUUACAAGAUCAUCUGGAUCAAGUAUGUUAAUCACUCCUGCUGAUGGCUUCCAUUGCAAUUCCAGUAUAUGUGUGCUCCUCCAGAUGCACACUUUUUUUUUUUUUUUGAGUACCACCUCUUUCCUUCCCUGAUAUUGUCUCAUGGGUUAUAUGUAUCAACACAUCCAGUCCAAACUUUAUGGCACUGCCUCAAAUAUUACUAUUUGUGACUGUUGGUCAAACUGAAUGCAAGAGAGGGACAUUGCUGAGAAAUGGACUAGUGCUGCCAUAAAUCAAAAUAACGCUGGCUUUUCUACAAGAGCUGAAGGGAUGUGAACAGGACCUCCAGGACUUCUAACAGGCCAGAAUAGGAUAAGCUGUGAAAGAUUUACCCAUGGGAAGUCAACUGCUGAUCUUCUCUAUUGUAACAGACCCAGGUGAUUUAAAACAGCUGUCAAAUGAUGUCACUUCAAAUAUGGAGUUCUAGGACUAAUACUGUUUUCAAACCACUGAACUGAAAUGCAAAGACUGAGGUUAUGAAAAAGCUGUUUGAAAUCCAGAAAGGUGGUUAGCCUGAAAAUGCUGCUGAAGGAAGUAUUCCUAUCACAUCCUGUAUUAUGUCAUAGCUCUGCAACUCUAGGCCAGGUGGUAUCCAGAUGCCAUCACUGGCACGGGAAAAUGAGCUGUAUGAGCCAUGAGCCUGUUUCCAUCUGUUUAGAGCCACCUUCUCUACUGUGGUCAACGUGGGGCUCCACAAACAAGAACCCAAUCUUGUGUUCCCACCUCGCGCUGCUUGCUACGCAUCUGGGCUCACUGCUGCUCUUCCUGUCACUCAAAGAACUCUCAUGGGCAGCAUCCCAUGAGUUAAAAGGAAUACAGAUUGCAGGGCAGGCAUAUUUAUUGCAACAUCAAAUGCAGAAAAAAAAAAGCAAUAGCAAAUAUACUUUGGCUUAUAAUUUGUUCAGCAUUCUUGAGCUUCCUUUCACAUUCUAUGAGAUGAAUUACCAAAAUUAAACAUUUCAAAAUGCUGAGAUUAUAAAACACUUGUAAUCAAACAUUCAGCAAUAAAAAAUUCUUGAAUUCAAGCCAAUUGCUUUACAGUCUGUUCCCUUCUGGUGCACAUGAUGCUGACCUGCAUGUGUUGCAGGAGAUCUUAGGGCAAAGACUAUGCUCCAUUUUUAUUCACAGAGCAAAGCAGUGCAGCCCUCUUGGUUUCUCAUCUGUAUGGUCUUUCUCACUUCUGCAGUUGAAUAUACUUCAGUACCCUUCUAUGCAAUGCUGCACAUCCUUCUGAUUUAUCCAUCACCUUUUGCUCUAAGACUUUUUGACUUUUUCUCAGCUCUUGGAAACAUAUUCAAGGUAACAUUGCUACAGAGGUGCACAUAAAACUGCAAACUCAAGUCUGUUACUAUUCAGUAACAGGAAAUUAUCCCUCUCAUUUGCCCAGCAUCUUCUUCCCUCCUUCCCAUUCCAAGACCAACACAGGAUUUCUACAGAAAAGAGAUGUAGAGAGAGAGAGGCUUCUUAUUUUUUAAACACUAUGGGAUUUGCUGAGAACAACCACUUCCUACGGAAGCCCAAACUCGAAAAAACAGAUGGGAAUGAGAUCCCAAAAUUGAUUAAAAAAAAGAAACCUAUGAUCAUUGGCACUGAGUUCAGUGCAGAAAUAACAAAUAAUUGCAAUUUAUCUCUGACAACAAAGACACCAUUAUGAUGAGGAACUUUAGCCUAACAGGUUGCUUAAUGAAUAAAAAAUACUUCAAAAAGGAAGAGGAUAGGAAAGAGAACUUCAAGGAUUCCAUGAAUGGAUUUCAGCAUAGGAGCCAGAAAGCAAAAAAAGAGCUGGAAGGAUGUUUAUGACAACUUGUGUUACCUUGGACAUGAGUGUCUAGAUUCACAGGAGUUUGGGUGAAUGAAAAAAAAAAAAAAAACCACACAGGAAGAUUUGCUGUAAAUUGUGAAAAAAACCCAGUUCUCUGAAGAAUAUUAGGAUGUUAUGCCACUACUUCAGGUGCACUCUGUGGUUAACAAAUAGUGGGAGCUUCCUGGAGAUCCUCACUACACCCUUUUCAGAAAACAGGAAGGAUUUCUGCUUUCAUUUGCAAAGAUAGGUGCACUUAGCAGAUAAGGUGUGCUGUGCCAGAGUUAUGCUGAAUAAAUAAGGUUAUAAUGAAAAAAAAAAAGGCUGAAGCAUCCCAUUGAGGUUCUCAUUUUCCCCUAAUAAUUCAAAAACAUAACAAAGAUGCAUUUCUCUCAUUAGCUUUAUAAUAUAUUCAUUUUUCACCACUCUAUUCUCUCAUUUAAGAAAGAGCAGGACAAUUCACUCAUCUUGUUCUCCUGAGCAGCAUAGAAAUCGCCUUCUCCUCUCAUGGACUUCAAACAAGGCAUAGUGAACAUCUGCCACUUGCAGCAAAUAUCGAUCAGAGUGUUUGUAAGGUUCCUUUUACCUGCCCUUAAUUUCCCAACAAAGCCCUUUAUUAUUAUUUUACAGUUAGUUAGAACAGUCGUGCAGUUCCUUUCUUCAGUGCAUUUGCCAAGUAAAAGGCAUCAUUAGUCAGAGAAGCAGAAAAAUGUUUGGACCUCCAAGAGUGAGAAAAGGAGUGGACACAUCAAUAACAUCCAAUGCAGUCUGUAGAGCAAUUCUUAUUUCUGUUUCAGUAAAUAAAGCUGAAUUUCUAAAAAACCUGUUAUUGACCAUUGUAUAUUACUCUGUAAUAAUAUCUGUGAACUUUCUGUAGCGAUCCAUAAGGCUUUGCAGAAGCUAGAGAAAAUAUUUUUUUUUUUCUAUUUAUGAAACCAAACUUUCAGCCUGAAAUAUAGGCACAUACAUUCAGCCACUGCUGCCAGCAGAGCUUCAGGUCAUGAACUUCAUAAAACAGGAAGUAUUUCCUCAGCACCAACACAGUGAAAUAUACGUGUGAUAAAUAUUUCUAGCCCAUACUGGUAGACCAUUAUCAAUCCCAGUGAGCAGAAAGUCCACAUGUAGAGGUGCUGCUGUAUUGUUUCUUUGUUGCUGAAUAUUCAGACUGCAAUCUGUACAGAUGCUUUGCAACUUUACCAUCCUAAAGUCCCAGCAUAAUUACUCUCUAUCCCAGCCAGGCAUGGAAUUACUCGAUCUCCACCUCCUUCUUUCCUGCCAGUAUCAGUACACCACCAUCAUGUCUUUCUGUAGUGCAUUCUCUGGACCCUCCACUGUUUCCUCCAAAGAGGUUGGCAGCCAUUUGAAAUGGUGGUGGCCUAACACUGGAGGAAUCCUGAAAAUGGCUUGGCUUCACGCCAAACUCCAGAAUCCUAGUAAGUUCCUAUGUUUGUUCCUCAAGACAGUGAUUGUGGAUCAUUGCCCAGGAGAACAAUUUCCCAGUACGUGGUGUGAAUCAAUGCAUGACAGUGCAUAUGCAACAAAUGCCAGGGAACUGGCGGUUGAACCACAAUAUAUAAAUCAUGUGAACAGACAUUUUUACUCUAACUAGUGCAUAGAUUUUACUCUAAAACUGCAUAUUGGUUAUUUCCAAGAAAAUGUAUUCCAAAAGCUUUUCUUUAUGAACAUGGAAAUGAUUUCUUAGAAACAGUCCUGCUGAGUUGUCAGACCCAUUCAAAACAAAUGAAACCCAAAAAUUUCCAAAAGUAAAUAAGUUAUCAAAAUGCAGUUAAGUAACCUUAUGAAAGCAAUUCCAACUACCUAAAAGUAAUAAUUAAUUUAAGGACUUUAAAAUGGCCACAUGAUGGCCUAGUGAAUUAUUCUUUAAAAUGACCACAUGAUGGCUCAGUGAAUUAUUCUUACCAGAUUAAAGAAGAGUUGGAAGCAGGGCUACGGAUAACUUUUGGCAACAUCAGCCAGAGUAGUCUUCAGCCAUGUAGAUUUUUUCCAACAUUAUUAUUGGAUGCUGCUGCUAUCUGUUCAUGCAGGUCUCAGCAAAGUGAUUUGAACAGAAUUUUACUAAGGGAAAGACUCCUUAAUUCUGAAUUAAAAGAAAGCACAGAUUUCACUUAAUCUUAACAGCCUCAAUUCUGGUUCAAAAUUGCAGGUUUUAGUUAUAUUAUUUUUAACCUUUCUUUACAAGCCAGAGUACUUGCUUUUAAUCAACAGGAAAUGUUGCUGGGUAUUAGGUGUGUCGACAAUCACAUUACUUAUAUAAGUUACUUACAUAAUGGGUACUUCUGGAACCUAAUGGGUUAUAUAUCAGUUGACAGGAAAAUAUAAAAAUAAUACAGUUUUUGAGAAAUACAUUGUUAUAUACAUACAUUCACCUGAAUUUGAUUAAUAUAUCCUAACUAGUUACUUUUACAUUGGUAUAUUAAGUAUAUGUUACACUCUAAGAUAUAUGCGGAGAAACAGGAUUUCUCACAUAUACAGGUGUUUACAUUCCAUUGUAUGUUUUGUUUUCUGAAUAACGUGGCAUUUGAGUUCACAUGUCAAGAUUACUUCUGAAAACAGCGUAUCUUUUUAUGCAGACCCGGGUCUUCCUGACAGCAAGAAGCAGUAAAGUUAGUUUGUAGAGCUAUCCUGUGGGGGACGUACAUAUAUCAGUCUAAAAUUUAAUAUGCGCAAGGUAACAUUAACUUGUUUUGGGAAGGAGAUAAGCUAUGUCAACACAAGUUCCACUGUUAGUUGAACAGGCAUAUUGUACAAAGCUGUACUAGUAUAAUACUUCAAACUAAGAAACAAAAGUAAAGGAGAAAAAAAUCCAUGUGAUUAAAUGUAAUUGUUGUGCCAGUGCAUUUGGUGAUGAACACCUCUCAACUGCUGAAAUAAGUAAAAUUUUCAGGUGAAUAUUGUCAUGGCAAAAGUAUUAAUAAUUUGUGCACUGGAGAUAACUGUUAAACACCUAGGCUGAGGCUGGCUGCCCGGAGAGCUAAGGAUGCCAGGUCAGGAAAGCCUCAGGAGAGCUCUAAAGGCGAUGAGUAAAAGCACUCUGUCAGCUGAGGCGAUGAAGUCCUUCAUGCAGCAUCGGGGAUCACAGGAAAAAGAGAGGGAUAUGGGUGCAAUUUGAACAGGUCCAUGGCACAGGGAGUCUGAGGUAGAAAGAGGGGACAGAAGCAAUAUAGUUUCUCUGAGUUUCUACAAAAUGAAAAGUGAGAGUAAAGAGAGAGGAGGGUGAGGCGGGAGGCGGCGCGGGGUAGCCUGGCCGGCCGGCCGUGGCGGUGGCUGCGCGCACUCCCGCUCCGCCGGCCGGCGAGGGGCCGGGCGCCGUGAGGCGGAGCUGGACACGGCGGCUUUCGCGGGAACCGCGGCCAGCCCCGGCCGAGCCGCUGACAGCCGCGCCAGGCGCUCCUGGCAGCGCAGCUCAGCUC